CGAAGCGAGAGAACGUUGCGUCAGCAACGGCCCGCAGGGCGAGCCACGCAGUGGCGAGUCAUCCUCUAUCACCGACCA
rnacentral:sRNA from 3 species